rnacentral:rRNA from 1 species
CCCUUAGACGUUCUGGGCCGCACGCGCGCUACACUGACGGAGCCAGCGAGUAUAAACCUUGGCCGAGAGGUCUGGGAAAUCUUGUGAAACUCCGUCGUGCUGGGGAUAGAGCAUUGUAAUUAUUGCUCUUCAACGAGGAAUUCCUAGUAAGCGCAAGUCAUCAGCUUGCGUUGACUACGUCCCUGCCCUUUGUACACACCGCCCGUCGCUACUACCGAUUGAAUGGCUUAGUGAGGCUUCCGGAUUGGUUUAGAGAAGGGGGCAACUCCAUCUUGGAACCGAGAAGCUAGUCAAACUUGGUCAUUUAGAGGAAGUAAAAGUCGUAACA